rnacentral:lncRNA from 1 species
GUUUUAUUAAUGUUCCUUCAUUGCAAAGUGGUGCCAGUUAAAAAACGAUUCAGAGAGAGCCACAUUAAUAAACAGCUUGUCCUCCUGAAGGGCCAGAGAUGCUGUGGUAAAUAGCAUGCGUGCGCGCGCACGCACGCACGCACGCACGCACGCACGCACAGUGUUAUGAGGAGCUGGAGGUUGUUACAAACUGCCCUUAGACCUGGUCAGAGGAGAGAAGCCUUCUGAUUGAGGUUGGAGCAAAAGCACCAGAGGUUUAUUCUGGGCCAUGUGAUCCCGUACCCCAAAUAAUGUACAAAUUGUGCCCAGCAGAGCAGGGGUCAGCAUGGUAUCCUAGGUCCCACUUUUCCUAAUUGUAAAAUACGAUUUUUGUUUUCAAUGGCCUCGGAGGAUCUCGGGAAUUCUCUAGGAAAUCACAGGCACUUAUCACGGGCACUUAUUGUUUGCUCUGGAGUGUUUUUCAAUUUUGCUUUAGGAAAUAAUUACUAGACCUAAUAUUGGCCAGCAAUGGAAAGAUAUCAAACCAGAGUUAGAACCCGACAAGCCAGGUGUUGUGCUUGGGUGUCACUGUAAAAGAGUAACUAGUCACAGGACAGGGUUCCAUGGGAAGUUUACAAGACAGCUAUAUGACAGCAUCAUGGGAUCGGCAGGUGUUGAGGAUGUUUUUUGACCAGUCAUUUCCAAAGGACCUUCACAUUUGCAAAGUGCUGCUAAAUGAAUCAGUUCCCACAUUAGUCCUCAGUUAUUUUUACAAUAACCAGUCAUUUUCACUCAAGUGCCUGCUUAGUUGUAUUCAACUGUUUUGUUUUCUGCCUCCACAACUGGAGUUUUGGACUCUAGGGAGAAAAUAGAAUUCUAUUUUUUUAAAAGAUGGUUUGAGCUGUUGGGCCCAUAGGGCCUGCCAGGUUUGGGGAGGUCAUUCCCUUUUCUCUGGGAGGCCCAGCAUAUUGUCAUCAGACAGCUCAGGGAAGCAGGUCAUAGACAAAAGAUAGUCACCUCCUCUAUGACAACUGGGAGAAGGGUUCUGUUCUGCUGAGCACAUUUGGAAAUCGGAUGUCCUCUAUCAAAGUCUGCACUCCACUAUGGCUGAUCCCUAACUCUACACUGGGGUUACCAUCAGGACAUGUACAUGGAGCCAGGCCUGCUUCCAAAGCCUCUGCCCCUCCAUGCUAGUGCAGUCAGCUCGGCAUCAGCCUGAAAACUGUGGGGUUGGUUUCCAAAAGGUGGAGGAUAAGGAAAUGAAUGCAUUUUCUCUCUGCAGUGGCUCUGGGUCCGGCUCCCGUCUGCCUUUCCCCACAGCUUUGAUGCCCAUGUGAACUUAAAGGGUUCAUAGAAAGGACAAAAUUGCUGGUGUUGGGUCUAGUCCUAAUUUUCCAGGGAAAGCGAAUCCGCCCAUCUCUGCACAAUUGCAGAACCCAGUAGGCCGCUCUGCCCCCUCAUGCCAUCUCCUGUCUAUUACAUACCCCCAGAGCGUUGGCUGGCCUGGCCUGGUGGUGACCACUGUCCGCUGCUGCCUCCUUUCCACCUUCCCAGGGCCUGGAUGGCCUUUGAGUAAACAGAUAGCCCGGUGAGGUGUGUGAUCAAUUAGCUUUGCUGAAAAUACAAUCAUUUUGUUAUUCCAAGCUGAUGAGAAGGCCUCUUCGGCCUGCUCUCCCAGCCUCCACAUGCCAAUCAGCCCGUGUCACCGAUAUAAUUUUCCACAUAAACACAACCUUUGUGCAACAUCUACUCUUGUAAAUAGAUGUAAUUCCCUAACCAAAUAGCGCACUUGGAGGGGAAAUGGAUAUUAUGCAUGCAAAAAGAAAAGCUGGUGAUUUUUACACUUUCCAGGCAACAAAAGAUUACCCCUAAUUGCAAAUGGGGGGGGCGCUCUGGGUAGGGAAGGGGGGGCAGCGCUGGGAGGCUGGGGAGGCUUGCUUCCAGGCAGAUUUUUUCCUUCUUUCUGUGUGUGUGUGUGUGUGUGUGUGUGUGUGUGUGUGUGAAGACCACCAGGAACUGCCUAAUCCCUGAUUUGUCCUGUGUAGGCAGUGGGGAAAAUAUGGUUGUUGUUGUUGAUAUCUGAAAGGAAACGGAGAUACUCUCUGAACCCUAAACCAUACACAUCCUGUUGAAGCAUUUUCCCCUUCGUCCCUGAUCGGAACAGCUUCGGUGGGCUGUGGAGCACGACUCACUCUGUAAUGCAUUGGUGUGUCUCUUUCAGUGUUCUGCUUAUUUCCGCAUAUUCCUAAAUUAGAUCUUAAAAGCAGCGGAAGUUGCCGGGCAGCUAGGGACUGAGAGCACCGCAGAACCCACUGUGUAAUCCCAGCCAGGUCUCUGGAGCUCUGAGUGCCACGGAAAAGAAGGUUGAGAUACCCCUGCCUGAGCCCCUUGUCUCCCUACCGGUGCCCCCUGGUGCACAGGAGUGGAAAAGCCAUGAGUCUCAGAGUGUCCUGGUUCCUGGCUGGCUGAAGAAGGAAGGCUUCAAAGCGUGGCUGAGUGGCCGGUCCCCUCCAGGCCAGUCAGCCAGUCUCUGGGCUCUACCUCUGUACAUCUGAAAGGUCAUCAGGUCACAGAUACAUUAAUGCAAAGAUGCAUUAUCAGCAGGUGAAUGGUGACAUCUUGGCCCGAAGAAAUCCUUGAUGCUUUAUGCAGCCUGAGUUCAAAACAGCAACGAAGAGCAAGCCAGGCAACGCAGAUUUUCUCUUGUGUCGGGGGCAGCCUGCAUGCUUUUCCUUGUGGCUAAUCUCCUGGGGCAAGUAUACCAGGUUCACGUGGAUAAAGGAGGGACUAGAGCUUCUGAAAGCAUAUUCCGCCUAUGGGACCACUCACUGCUCUUUGUAUUCAAAACACCAUCUUCCCGGAAAAACAAAGCUGGACCCUACCGGUUUGGGAGUCUGAUGCAGUGGACCCCCCAAGAACACUAAGCAAAGCUGUCAUUUACUUGUAUGGUCUUGAAUAUAAAUAAUUAUUUUGCUGUCUCACCUCGAAAUCAGCUUGGAAGAUAAGUUGUAGAAGAAAAGAGACUACUGGGCACAGACACCUGGACUCUGACCCUGGUUCAGUCACCUAUUGGCCAUUUGACUCUAACAUCAUCUCACUAAACAGAGCUUUGUUCAUCAGUAAAAUAUUGAGACAAUAUUUUUUCUUGGACUGUUUCAUUAGAAUAUUAAACACACCACAUAUCACAUGCAUGGCUUAUAGUAGGAAUUAAGUAUUGAUUUGUCUGUGAUAAC